GGCCGGGAGGCGUGGUGGCCUAAGGUUAGCGCGUUGGACUCCGGAUCGAACGGGUCCGGGUUCGAGCCCUGGCCUGGAUA